rnacentral:tRNA from 1 species
AGGGAUAUAGCUCAGUGGUAGAGCACUUGCCUAGUGUGCGUGAGGCCCUGGGUUCCAUCCCCAGCACUG